ensembl:lincRNA 4930403P22Rik RIKEN cDNA 4930403P22 gene
AGACCAUAAACAACUCUCACUCAGUAAACAUGGAAGACCGAAUGAGCCAUCGUCCAUGUGCUGUUAGACUGACAUCACGUAGUUGUGAGGAGACUGGAGGGCAGGUAUCUCUCACAUGCCACUGCUGAGAGUAUAAAAUGCCAUGGCUACCCUAGAAAACAGCUAAGACAGCUUCUUAUAACAGUUACUAACACUUUACCACAAGGCCCAGUCGGCAUACUUCUGGAUGUUCACCUAAAAACUUGCAUACAAUCACCCGCUGCAGCUAAAGGCAUCAAGUUCGCUGGCCCCAGAGGCAGAAACAAGAUGAUGGAGCGAAUGUCCUGUUAUAGAAAGCACAGGAAUAACAUGCAGUGUGCUCCUGCCAUGGCUCAAGAAGAAGUGUAAAUGGUGUGUCAAAGCUAAGAAGCAGGACACUGGGACAAAUAAGGCGUCAUGGAGUCUGUGAAGGCACCACAGCUGACCCCAAGGGGACAGCUGCUGCUGCAGCAUGCAGUUCAUCUUGAAGACUUCAAUGAUCAACCAUAAAAUGCAUGCUCUGGUCACAAACUGAAAGAAAAAGAGGGUCUGUCAACAGGCUAAUGCUUAAGCGAGGCAAACCCCAACUAUGGACACGCCUCAGCAAUAGAAGAGAUGAGCUGUAUUACACUGUCACAAGGCUUGGACAGGCAUCAAAGGAAUUACACUGAGGGAGGCAAAAAGAAAAUCUCAAAGGU